rnacentral:lncRNA from 1 species
AUGAUGGUUUACUUUUAGGAAUAGUGACUUAGAUAGAGAGUUUUCUUAUUGGCAUUCAUACCACAUUUUCUUAUAUUAUUCUGCUCAUUAUUGAAGUCAAUGAUAUGAUCUAAUUAUUCAAGGAUUUUACUUUGCAAUGACUACAAUGGUGAUACAUUUUAAUAUAUACAGCCUCCUCUAUUAAUAACUACUGUUUCCUUUGAAUCUUAAAAAAGAAAUAAGAUAAAACAAAUGUUUG